UAAACAUUGAUAUUUGUUACACCCACUAUCCGCCCGGGUACUACGAGCAUAAGCUUAAAACCCAAAGGACUUGGCGGUGCUUAAGAUCCCCCUAGAGGAGCCUGUUCUAGAACCGAUAAUCCCCGUUUAACCUCACCCUCUUUUGUUUUUCCCGCCUAUAUACCGCCGUCGUCAGCUUACCCCAUGAGGGGCUAAUAGUGAGCAAAAAUGGCACAGCCUAAAACGUCAGGUCGAGGUGUAGCAUAUGAGAGGGGAAGAAAUGGGCUACAUUCUCUAAUAAUAGAGAACACGGAUAAUAUAUUGAAAUAUAUAUUUUAAGGAGGAUUUAGUAGUAAGUAAAAAUCAGAGUGUUUCACUGAACUAGGCCCUAAAGCGUGCACACACCGCCCGUCACUCUCUCCAAGUCUAAACAAACCCACAUAUAUAAUAAACCCUUAUAGCAAAGGGGAGGCAAGUCGUAACAUGGUAAGUGUACCGGAAGGUGUACUUGGACAAAU
rnacentral:rRNA from 1 species